UACGUAGGGUGCUAGCGUUGUUCGGAAUCAUUGGGCGUAAAGCGCGUGUAGGCGGUUUGUUAGGUCGAGUGUGAAAUCCCUGGGCUCAACCGAGGAAGUGCAUUCGAAACUAACUUGCUUGAAGACGGUAGAGGAAGGUGGAAUUCCAAGUGUAGAGGUGAAAUUCGUAGAGAUCGGAAGGAACGUCAAUGGCGAAGGCGGCCACCUGGCAUCAUACUGACGCUGAGGCGCGAAAGCGUGGGGAGCGAACAGG
rnacentral:rRNA from 1 species